CCGAAACGGUGACCGACCCUUCGGGGAGCUUGCACAGGUGCUGCAUGGCUGUCGUCAGCUCGUGUCGUGAGAUGUUCGGUUAAGUCCGCUAACGAGCGCAACCCUCGCUGUGUGUUAUAUGUGUCACACGGGACUGCCGGUCUUAAGCCGGAGGAAGGUGGGGAUGAUGUCAAGUCAGCAUGGCCUUUAUAUCCUGGGCUACACACACGCUACAAUGGCCAACACAAUAGGUUGCUAAGCCGCGAGGUGGCGCCAAUCCAUAAAGUUGGUCUCAGUUCAGAUUGUAGGCUGCAACCCGCCUGCAUGAAGAUGGAGUUGCUAGUAACCGCAGGUCAGCUAUACUGCGGUGAAUACGUUCCCGGGGCUU
rnacentral:rRNA from 1 species